UGGGGAAUAUUGGACAAUGGGCGGAAAGCCUGAUCCAGCAACGCCGCGUGAGGGAUGACGGCCUUCGGGUUGUAAACCUCUUUCAGUACCGACGAAGCGAAAGUGACGGUAGGUACAGAAGAAGGACCGGCCAACUACGUGCCAGCAGCCGCGGUAAUACGUAGGGUCCGAGCGUUGUCCGGAAUUAUUGGGCGUAAAGGGCUCGUAGGCGGUUUGUCGCGUCGGGAGUGAAAACAGCGGGCUUAACUCGUUGCUUGCUUUCGAUACGGGCAGACUAGAGGUAUGCAGGGGAGAAUGGAAUUCCUGGUGUACGGUGAAAUGCGCAGAUAUCAGGAGGAACACCGGUGGCGAAGGCGGUUCUCUGGGCAUUACCUGACGCUGAGGAGCGAAAGUGUGGGGAGCGAACAGGAUUAGAUACCCUGGUAGUCCACACCGUAAACGUU
rnacentral:rRNA from 1 species